rnacentral:rRNA from 1 species
CCCUUAGACGUUCUGGGCCGCACGCGCGCUACACUGACACAGGCAACGAGCUUUCCUUUACCGAAAGGUAUGGGUAAUCUUUUGAAACUGUGUCGUGCUGGGGAUAGAUCCUUGCAGUUUUUGAUCUUAAACGAGGAAUUCCUAGUAAGCGCGAGUCAUCAACUCGCGUUGAUUACGUCCCUGCCCUUUGUACACACCGCCCGUCGCUACUACCGAUUGAAUGGCUUAGUGAGGCCUCAGGAUCCGCGCUUAAUGUGUGGAGAAUUUGGACAAACUACGUCAUUUAGAGGAAGUAAAAGUCGUAACA